rnacentral:rRNA from 1 species
ACAACGAGUUGCGAACUCGCGAGAGUAAGCUAAUCUCUUAAAGCCGUUCUCAGUUCGGACUGUAGGCUGCAACUCGCCUACACGAAGUCGGAAUCGCUAGUAAUCGCGGAUCAGCAUGCCGCGGUGAAUACGUUCCCGGGCCUUGUACACACCGCCCGUCACACCAUGGAAGUUUGCAAUGCCCAAAGUCGGUGGCCUAACCAUUUGGAGGGAACCGCCUAAGGCAGGGCAGAUGACUGGGGUGAAGUCGUAACAAGGUACC